GAUGAACGCUGGCGGCGUGCCUAAUACAUGCAAGUCGAGCGAACAGACGAGGAGCUUGCUCCUCUGACGUUAGCGGCGGACGGGUGAGUAACACGUGUAUAACCUACCUAUAAGACUGGGAUAACUUCGGGAAACCGGAGCUAAUACCGGAUAAUCUAUUGAACCGCAUGGUUCAAUAGUGAAAGACGGUUUUGCUGUCACUUAUAGAUGGAUCCGCGCCGCAUUAGCUAGUUGGUAAGGUAACGGCUUUCCAAGGGAACGAUGCGUAGCCGACCUGAGAGGGUGGUCGGCCACACUGGAGCUGGGCCACGGACCAGACUCCUGCGGGAGGGAGCAGUAGGGAAUCUUCCGCAAUGGGCGAAAGCCUGACGGAGCAACGCCGCGUGAGUGAUGAAGGUCUUCGGAUCGUAAAACUCUGUUAUUAGGGAAGAACAAAUGUGUAAGUAACUAUGCACGUCUUGACGGUACUUAAUCAGAAAGCCCCGGCUAACUACGUG
rnacentral:rRNA from 1 species